rnacentral:rRNA from 1 species
AGAUUGAACGCUGGCGGCAUGCCUUACACAUGCAAGUCGAACGGCAGCACGGGGGCAACCCUGGUGGCGAGUGGCGGAACGGGUGAGUAAUACAUCGGAACGUGUCCUGUAGUGGGGGAUAGCUCGGCGAAAGCCGGAUUAAUACCGCAUACGCUCUACGGAGGAAAGCGGGGGAUCUUCGGACCUCGCGCUAAAGGGGCGGCCGAUGGCAGAUUAGCUAGUUGGUGGGGUAAAGGCCUACCAAGGCGACGAUCUGUAGCUGGUCUGAGAGGACGACCAGCCACACUGGGACUGAGACACGGCCCAGACUCCUACGGGAGGCAGCAGUGGGGAAUUUUGGACAAUGGGGGCAACCCUGAUCCAGCAAUGCCGCGUGUGUGAAGAAGGCCUUCGGGUUGUAAAGCACUUUGUCAGGGAAGAAAGGAUUCUACUAAUACUGGAGUCUGAUGACGGUACCUGAAGAAUAAGCACCGGCUAACUACGUGCCAGCAGCCGCGGUAAU